ACAAUAUUGACCAAAAGUUGUCUGAGCUGCAUAAUAAUCGGAAUGAAAGCCAAAUGGAACCCGACAAACAUUCUCGGAAUUAAAAAAAAAGCACACCUCUCACUAUACAAAUGAUGUCUCUCCGUCUGUUUUCAAUGCUUUUUUCUAUACUUCGGCACUGCGGCUGAUUCUUAGAUUUCUCACAAGCUUCAUCUAGAGAUACAUCAAUCGUCUUCCAUUUGCGGGAUUGUCCGUGAGGCUUUGCCGUGCCGAAAAUUUCUUAUACUUUCUACUAUCCCCGGGAAAUGUUCCUGUCGGCGUAGAUCAAUGCUAUAUUUAGAUUACAGUUUUAUAGUUAACGGCCAAAAAUUCAAAAUUUAACAUAACUAACACAUACAUGCCACCCUGUAUUCGCACCGCCAAUAAAGAAAUUUAAAAAAUGAAAA